rnacentral:rRNA from 1 species
CCCGUGGGAAUCUGGGAGGACCAUCUUCCAAGGCUAAGUACUACCUGAUGACCGAUAGUGAACGAGUACCGUGAGGAAGGUGAAAGUACCCGAAAGGGGGUGAAAAGACCCUGAACCCGUGUGUCUACGAACAGUAGGAGCCGAAAGGCGACUGCGUACCUUUUGCAUAAUGAGUCAGCGAGUUGUGCGCUGCAGCAAGGCUAAGCCGUCAGGUGGAGCCGCAGGGAAACCGAGUCUGAAUAGGGCGAAUAGUUGCAGCGUACAGACCCGAAUCCAAGUGAUCUAUCCAUGGUCAGGGUGAAGCGUGGGUAACACUGCGUGGAGGCCCGAACUCACUGAAGUUGAAAAUUCAGGGGAUGAACUGUGGAUGGGGUGAAAGGCCAAUCAAACUUGGGAAUAGCUGGUUCUCCCCGAAAGGCAUUGACGUGCCGCCUUGUGUAGCACCGUCGGG